ACAGGUGGUGCAUGGUUGUCGUCAGCUCGUGUCGUGAGAUGUUGGGUUAAGUCCCGCAACGAGCGCAACCCUUGUCUUUAGUUGCCAUCAUUAAGUUGGGCACUCUAGAGAGACUGCCAGGGAUAACCUGGAGGAAGGUGGGGAUGACGUCAAAUCAUCAUGCCCCUUAUGCUUAGGGCUACACACGUGCUACAAUGGGUAGUACAGAGGGUUGCCAAGCCGUAAGGUGGAGCUAAUCCCUUAAAGCUACUCUCAGUUCGGAUUGUAGGCUGAAACUCGCCUACAUGAAGCUGGAGUUACUAGUAAUCGCAGAUCAGAAUGCUGCGGUGAAUGCGUUCCCGGGUCUUGUACACACCGCCCGUCACACCACGGGAGUUGGAGACGCCCGAAGCCGAUUAUCUAACCUUUUGGAAGAAGUCGUCGAAGGUGGAAUCAAUAACUGGGGUGAAG
rnacentral:rRNA from 1 species